CUGCUGCCUCCCGUAGGAGUUUGGGCCGUGUCUCAGUCCCAAUGUGGCCGUCCACCCUCUCAGGCCGGCUACUGAUCGUCGCCUUGGUGGGCCUUUACCCCGCCAACCAGCUAAUCAGACGCGGGUCCAUCUUGCGCCACCGGAGUUUUUCACACUGUCCCAUGCAGGACCGUGCGCUUAUGCGGUAUUAGCACCUAUUUCUAAGUGUUAUCCCCCAGUGCAAGGCAGGUUACCCACGCGUUACUCACCCGUCCGCCA
rnacentral:rRNA from 1 species